AACGUAGGAGACAAACGUUAUCCGGAGUUACUGGGCGUAAAGGGCGUGUAGGCGGUUUGUUAAGUCUGGCGUGAAAGCUCUCGGCUAAACCGGGAGAGGUCGUUGGAUACUGGCGAACUGGAGGAUGGUAGAGGCGUGUGGAAUUCCGGGUGUAGUGGUGAAAUGCGUAGAGAUCCGGAGGAACACCAGUGGCGAAGGCGACACGCUGGGCCAUACCUGACGCUAAAGCGCGACAGCAUGGGGAGCAAACGGG
rnacentral:rRNA from 1 species